rnacentral:rRNA from 1 species
GGAAUAUUGGGCAAUGGGCGAAAGCCUGACCCAGCAACGCCGCGUGAGUGAAGAAGGCUUUCGGGUUGUAAAGCUCUGUUAUAGGGGACGAAGGAAGUGACGGUACCCUAUAAGGAAGCCCCGGCUAACUACGUGCCAGCAGCCGCGGUAAUACGUAGGGGGCGAGCGUUGUCCGGAAUGACUGGGCGUAAAGGGCGUGUAGGCGGUCAUUUAAGUCUGGAGUGAAAGUCCUGCUUUCAAGGUGGGAAUUGCUUUGGAUACUGAAUGACUUGAGUGCGGAAGAGGUAAGUGGAAUUCCCAGUGUAGCGGUGAAAUGCGUAGAGAUUGGGAGGAACACCAGUGGCGAAGGCGACUUACUGGGCCGUAACUGACGCUGAGGCGCGAAAGCGUGGGGAGCGAACA